rnacentral:lncRNA from 1 species
CUUCAUAAAGCUAGAUAACCGAAAGUAAAAAUAACCCCAUUACACGCCUGAGGAGGAUGUGGAGAAGAAAGGAAAUCCAUCAAAAGGAAAAUGAGGAAAAGAAAAAAUGAAAUGAAAAGAAGGAAGAGAAAGGAAAUGAGAGGUGGAAAAAAAAAAGAACUGGGGAAAAAAAGACAACUUUUUGAAACUGGAAUUAAAACCCGAGCAGCCUCAGCUCGUUCCUGCUGCAAGUCGAGCUCCAGCGACGCCUCGGACACCAGAGUUUGCUCCCCAAAACAGCGAAACCGUGGGGUGAGCAGCCUCCUGAGCUGCUGUCGUGAAAUCCCGGCCUCGGUGAAGAACACAGGCUGGAAGAAAAAAGAAGAAAAGAAAGAAAGAAAGUCCUCAAAGCCAGGAAAUCUGUGUUAAUUGCUUAUGAAUGUCUCUGUCUAAAAAAUUAUCGAAUUGAUGUUGUCGUGCUUUUUUUUGACAGCCUGUCUGUUACAUUUUUUUAAAAUAUUCAUGCACCGAAAUCUAAUUACUAGGCAAAUUUAAUGAUAAUGAAAUGAAGGCACUUUAGCAGAAAGCACAGGGCCUUGUUAAUGUUUUCUCAGCCUCUGUCUUGUUCAUAUUUUUAAAUUAUUUUUUUUUUACAACUGCCUUUCUUGCAUUUAAAAAAAAAAAGGGUUGCCGAAAAUAAAACUUGGAUUGCUGAAAA